AGAUUUUUCUGAAGACAUUUUCUGCAGCUUAUCUGACCAAUAUGAACUUUUCCUUAAAGUGAAUCAUAGGUGAUGCCUUGUUUGACCGAUAACACACUUGUCCAUUAUUAUUGGACAGUGCGCACCACCCUGCCACGAGGACACUACCUGCCUGUCCAUCCCCUAUCCACAGGAGAACCGCUGCAGCCCACAACGAGUGAGCCCACUACCCCCGCUGCAGACCUGGAACGGCCGAGUCUCUAGCAGUGCACUCUCUGCCCAAAGAGCCGGGACCUCACCGGAGACCAUCGCUCACCGACAAGGAUUUGCUACAUUUUAGUGAGAACUUGGAUCACUUCUCAUGGCCAGUCUUGCAUCUCUGGCGGUGGAGGUUAUUCUGUUUUCUACAGAACCAAAAACGAGACUUAUUGCCAGAAGACUACAGACUCUUGCACACCGUAUUUGGCAAGGUUUUUUUUGUGACUGCUGAGUAUGCAGAAGUAUUCUAGAAAUGUGUUUUAAAGGAUACAUGAAUGCGGAGGAAUACGUCGGAUUCGGUGGACUACGACGAUGACCUCCAAUUUUUUUUAUUUAUUUUGUUUUAAUAAAAUGGUUAACAAGGGCUGUGGAAGUGUUUUUCUUAAUAAAAAU